CUAGAAUAGUCUAGAACAAGGAAGGCGAAGCCAUGCAGGCAUUGUGGGUACAGAGCUCAGCACUCACACACUAGGGGGCCAGCGUAAGUGUAGAAUCAAGAGACAGGAGCUAGACCUGAGGAAGCCCCUUUUGGGUCCAUGUCAGAUAGCCUGUCUGUGCCUAGCCUAAGCCUCCAUAGCGCUGUGGACAGGAACUUUUGCAUCUCCCUGAGACUGUGUGUGACUUCAUGGCACUCAUUCAGCACCUUGGUCUCAACUAUACAACAGGCAGACUGUACUAAAAGGCCACUAGGGCACCUCCUCCUCUUCCUCCUCCUCCUCCCCUUCCUCCUCCUCUUCCUCUUCCUUGUCUUCUUCUUCUUCUUCUUCUUCUUCUUCUUCUUCUUCUUCUUCUUCUUCUUCUUCUUCUUCUUCUUCUUCUUCUUCUUCUUCUUCUUCUUCUUCUUCCUCCUCCUCCUCCUCCUCCUCUUCCUCCUCUUCCUCCUCCUCUUUCUUCUUCAUGAAGGCUGAGAAAGCACUGGGUGGACCUGUGGCUACAAGGAUCCUUCUGACCAACUGUCCACCCUCCUGUUCAGUUGACAAAUGCCAACUCUAUGUUAAAGUGAGAAAGCCUUGACUCCCUAUAGCUGUCCAUAUUCUGUGCCUCUAGGAAGGGUCUCCAGGCACAGCGUGCCUUGGUCUAUCUUGUGUGCAUCUGCACAGAGUCUCUGAGAUGAGUGGUCAAUCUUGGUAUCUGCACAGGUCUGGAAAUGUGUUUUGUGUGCAACCAUAUAUGUCACAGUCGUAGCCCCCUUUAGCUUUUCCUAGUGUACCUGCUUCCAGCCAUCACUGGAAUGCAGGAGCCAACAGCCAGACAUAAAGAGGGACUGCCAGAUGUGUGAGGGUGCUACUCCAGGCCAAGGACAUGGCCAUGUGGGUUUUGUCCAUGUGGGGGCAGAACAUGGAUGGUAGCAGAGACCAGGUAUCAAGGUGAGUCAGGUCUCCCUUAUUCUAGCCAGGACACCAGCCUUGAGCCAGGGCCAUUGUACCCAGGACCUCCUCAGCCUGGGGAGGACAUGGAGGGUAGAGAGGGUAGAAAAGAAUCAGGAUAUGGGGAGAUGAUUUGGUGGCUGGUGUUCUGGAUGUGUGAGCUGUCCCUGCUUUGGAGAGAUGGCCCAGGAAUUUGGGCUACCAAAGGGACAAGAAUGAAGACUAUUAGGGUUCCCUAUAUCCAGGUAGCCAGUGCUGAGCUGGGGGUAGGGGCAGAGUUACGAACCAGGAAUGAGUAAGAGCCAUGGGAGGCUGGGCUGAGGUGGGAGGCUGGCAGCCACCCCUCAUCUCUGCUCCACUGGGGCCCUAGCCAGUCUGAGUGCCCACCUACCAACUCCCUGUGCGCCCACUGGGCUGGAUCAUACAGGAGCAGUUCUCCAUCAGGGGUGGGGUUGGGGGGGCUACUGCCAGCUGGCCGAUGAGACACCCCCAGAGCUGAGAGUUCAGAUGCCCAUGCCAGUUAGAGGGUGGCGUUCAAGGCUGCCACCCCCACCCUGGCGGCUGUGUUUUCCUGCUGUUCUCUGCAAUUCCAUUUAAAUACCUCCCAGAGCCAGCCCAGCAGCAGCCUGCCUGCUUCCGGCACCAUAAAAGGAGAGAGGCUGAGAAUAGCUGAGCCAUGACGCAGCAAGGAGCUUCCCCACGCAGGAAGGCUCUGUGCGCUGAGCCUGCCACCACCCAGGGCCCACCCUGCCCUACACCU
rnacentral:lncRNA from 1 species